GAAAUGCGAUAAGUAAUGUGAAUUGCAGAAUUCAGUGAAUCAUCGAAUCUUUGAACGCACAUUGCGCCCGCCAGUAUUCUGGCGGGCAUGCCUGUUCGAGCGUCAUUUCAACCAUCAAGCCCCCGGGCCUGUGUUGGGGACCUGCGGCUGCCCGCAGGCCCCGAAAACCAGUGGCGGGCUCGCUGUCACCCCGAGCGUAGUAGCAACACCUCGCCCAGGGAGUGCCGCGGGUUCCGGCCGUAAAACCUCGCCCUCGCGGCGAGAACACCCCCCCCCAAGGUUGACCUCGGAUCAGGUAGGAAGACCCGCUGAACUUAAGC
rnacentral:misc_RNA from 1 species